rnacentral:rRNA from 1 species
GACGAACGCUGGCGGCGUGCUUAACACAUGCAAGUCGAGCGGUAAGGCCUUUCGGGGUACACGAGUGGCGAACGGGUGAGUAACACGUGGUUGAUCUGCCCUGCACUUCGGGAUAAGUCCGGGAAACUGGGUCUAAUACCGGAUUGGACUGCGCGGUGCAUGCCGUGUGGUGGAAAGAUUUAUCGGUGCAGGAUGGGCCCGCGGCCUAUCAGCUUGUUGGUGGGGUAAUAGCCUACCAAGGCGACGACGGGUAGCCGGCCUGAGAGGGCGACCGGCCACACUGGGACUGAGACACGGCCCAGACUACUACGGGAGGCAGCAGGGGGGAAUAUUGCACAAUGGGCGCAAGCCUGAUGCAGCGACGCCGCGUGAGGGAUGACGGCCUUCGGGUUGUAAACCUCUUGCAGCAGGGACGAAGCGUGAGUGACGGUACCUGCAGAAGAAGCACCGGCCAACUACGUG